GGACUUGUACCCUAAUAAGGGGUUACUUUGAUAGGGUAAACAUGAAGGUUAAAAUCCUCCCAACUCCU
rnacentral:tRNA from 1 species